AACGAACGCUGGCGGCGUGCCUCAUACAUGCAAGUCGAACGAGAAAGCCCGGCUUCGGUUGGGUUAGUAAAGUGGCGCACGGGUGCGUAACACGUGAGGAACAUGCCCCUAUAUCGGGGAUAAGCCUGCGAAAGCGGGUCUAAUACCGGAUGUUGUCACCGGGUCGCAUGGCCUGGUGAUUAAAGGCGGUUGAGUCUAUGCCGUCGUAUAGGGAUUGUCUCGCGGCCCAUUAGCUAGUUGGCGGUGUAAUGGACCACCAAGGCUCCGAUGGGUAGCCGACCUGAGAGGGUGACCGGCCACACUGGGACUGAGAUACGGCCCAGACUCCUACGGGAGGCAGCAGUAGGGAAUAUUGGACAAUGGGGGAAACCCUGAUCCAGCAACGCCGCGUGGAUGAUGAAGCUUUUUGGAGUGUAAAAUCCUGUCAGUGGGGACGAAACGUCCGGGUAGGAAAUGCCCCGGGCCUGACUGUACCCGCAGAGGAAGUUCCGGCCAACUCCGUG
rnacentral:rRNA from 1 species